AAUUCAAUGGUGGGGAAAUUUUCUUAACAACUCCUUAAACCUUUCCCACGCAUCAUACAACAACUCACCAUCUCUCUGGUAAAAAUUGUUGAUUUCACAUCUAUACCU